rnacentral:rRNA from 1 species
GGAGGAAAGCAGGGGAUCGCAAGACCUUGCGCUUUUGGAGCGGCCGAUGCCUGAUUAGCUUGUUGGUGAGGUAAAAGCUCACCAAGGCUCCGAUCAGUAGCUGGUCUGAGAGGACGACCAGCCACACUGGGACUGAGACACGGCCCAGACUCCUACGGGAGGCAGCAGUGGGGAAUUUUGGACAAUGGGGGCAACCCUGAUCCAGCCAUGCCGCGUGAGUGAAGAAGGCCUUCGGGUUGUAAAGCUCUUUCAGCCGGAACGAAACGGUCACGGUCAAUACCCGUGACUACUGACGGUACCGGAAGAAGAAGCACCGGCUAACUACGUGCCAGCAGCCGCGGUAAUACGUAGGGUGCGAGCGUUAAUCGGAAUUACUGGGCGUAAAGCGUGCGCAGGCGGUUUUGUAAGUCAGAUGUGAAAUCCCCGGGCUUAACCUGGGAACUGCGUUUGAAACUACAAGGCUAG